UUCACGUCAUUCUCCUGCCUCAGCCUCCCGAGUAGCUGGGACUACAGGCGCCCACCACCACGCCUGGCUAAUUUUUUGUAUUUUUAGUAGAGACGAGGUUUCACGUGUUAGUCAGGAUGGUCUCGAUCUCCUGCCCUCAGGUAAUCCACCCGCCUUGGCCUCCCAAAGUGCUGGGAUUACAGGUGUGAGCCACCAUGCCCGGCCAGAAACUGCCACUUUUAAACCAUCAGAUCUCAUUGAGAACUCCCUCACUAUCACGAGAACCGCAUGAGGGAAACCACCCCCAUGAUCUGAUCACCUCCCGCCAGGUCCUGCCCUCAACAUGUGGGGAUUACAAUUCAAGAUGAGAUUUGGGUCAGGAAACAGAGCCAAACCAUAUCAAGAGCCUCUGGUAACCACUGUUCUAGUCAAUGCUUCUAUGAGGUGAACUUCUUUGGAUUCCACAUAUGAUCAAGAUCAUGAGGAAGGAGGAGCAAGUCUUCUUUGUCAUGCUAUUAAGAAAAUACCCAGAGUCACAGCACCGUGAUCUCCUUGUGAAGCAGAACAAGUAAUAUAAAACUGAUCUAAAGAGGCCUCCCCUCUACUCUUA